GGAGAAAGACGCUUGAAUACCCGAUACUGUUUACAGCGACGGGACAGGAGGGAUUUUCAACCUAUCAAGCCCCAACUUCUGAAAGGGAAAAUCCAUAUGAAGGCACUCAAGUGAUGGACUGGGUUUAAAUCCAGCAGGUGGAAUGGACUUGCAACCGGUAGCAAAAGUUACUCACAAAAUAGAUUCCAGGACUGGAAGAAACCAAUACUUAAUACUGUGAAACAUCCAUCCUGUAUUUGCUCUCCCUCACUACAGCUCACCAAGC